GAAUGUUUCCCUCCCCAUUAUAAGGUUGAUAUUAAAGUUUCUCCUGGAUCUCAUGCUGAUGAAGAAUCAGUGAAUAAGCAGUUGAACGAUAAAGAAAGAGUUGCUGCUGCCCUAGAGAAUCCGAAUCUGCGCCAACUUGUGGAUGAGUGCCUUUACUCGAAUGAACUUUGAUCAAGCACUUGCCUACCUUCAGCAGCUGUAUAUAGAAUUUUGUUGUUGUUGUUGUUGAAUGCUAUAAAUGACUCUUGCCACACAAAAUUGAUCUGCUGCAUUUAAUUUAUCCCACGUUGGUACGUUUAUUUGAUAGAAGCCACAUA
rnacentral:misc_RNA from 1 species